UCUAUGAAGAAGUUUAAAUAGAGACAUAUGGAUAUAAAAGAAAUUUACCUGGACAUGAAGGGUGGAGCAAUUACUAGGGUUUUUUAUAAAAAUAUUAUAAAAAAAUAAAAAUUUACCAGAAUGUUAUAACUUUUUUUAUUUACCAAAAUAUAUAAAAAAACAAAAAAAAACCUGCAAAAAAAAUCAGAACGAUGUGACGGGACCUUGGUCACGCCAAUGGUAUUGGCGGCACCAGUUAAUAAUAGGGGGGGUCGGUGGUGGGGGGGGCAGAAGGAGAGGGAAAGAAAGAAAGAAAGAAAGAAAGGAGAGGAAAGAAAGAAAAAGAAGGAAAGAAAAGGAAAGGAGAAGAGAAAAAAAAAGAAAGAAAGAAGAAGAAAAGGAAAAGAGAAGAAAAAGAAAGAAAGAAGGAAAGAAAAGGGAAAAAAAAAGGGAAGGAAGGAAAAAAAAAAAGAAAAAAAAGGUAAUUUUAUUUAUAAAUUUAAUUUUUUUGUAAUAUUUGUGUAUUUAAAAUUUAUGUUAUGUACAUUAUAGUUAUUUUAUUAUUUUAUUUAGCAUUUAUAUUUUAUGAAAUAUAUUUAGAAUGAAAAAAAUAAUGGUAUGUACAUUGUAUGUUGAUUAGGGAUUUUUUUAUGAAAUUUACUUAGGAAUUUGAAAUUAAAAUUUUAAGAAAAUAGCAUUAAAAGUAAAAUGACAAAGAAGUAUGUUUAAGAAAACAUAAAAUACGAAAAGAAAAAACGGGAAUUGUAUAUUUAUCGAAAAUAAUAAAAUGCGGAAAAAAUGUGAAAAAUGCACAUGUAAUAGAUUUAAAACAUAAUAAAUUGA
rnacentral:lncRNA from 1 species